GUGCUCGCUUUGGCAGCACAUAUAUUGAAAUUGGAACGAUACAGAGAAGGUUAGCAUAGCCCCUGCACAAGGAUGGCACACAAAUUCAUGAAGCGUCCCAUAUUAAA
ensembl:snRNA U6 U6 spliceosomal RNA